AUGCUUGCUUCAGCAGCACAUAUGCUAAAAUCUGAAUGAUACAGAGAUUAGCAUGGUCCCUGUGAAAGGAUUACCUACAUGGGAAAAGGAUCUGAAAAAGAACAU
rnacentral:snRNA from 1 species